UAAAUUAGUAAUGAGUCAAAUGAUUUGAAUCUUUAGAUAUACUUUUACAAAGCAGAUAUUAAAAGUGUAUGUUGGUGAUUACAACAGGGUAAUACUACUUUAACAAAUUAGAUAAUUAUAAUCUUAUACAAGAUCAAGUUCAAUAUCCUAAUAUACUUAUAUAUAAUUUCUACACUAAUUGUUUAAAAGAAUGGUAUUAUACUAUUUUUGAAAUUACAUUAUUUGAGCUUGUUUAAAAAAAAAAAAAACAAAAAACAAGUGGGGAAGCAUUUAUUAAUUGACGACCAAUCGACGAUUUAGCAACGGUUCAUUUAAAAGGAAAAAGAAAUAUUUUAGCAACGGUUACUUUACAGCCUCGCGAAAUCUAAAUUAGGAUUUUCCCGUUGUAUAUAUCCUUUGCUAUCAGUAUUUGCCUCUUGAUAUUACAAAUUUCCUAAUUCAUAUUUCCCAAAUUGAAGAGAAUAAAUUUUCCUCUUUUCUAUUCUCACAUUUCUAAUGCUUGCUUUUCUACCCAUCUCUUCCUCAGGCCAUCGUCACCGUCGCUACAAAUGGAUUCCUAACUCUCUUUCGUUUUCUUUUGACUUUCUUUUUUCUUUUGGGGUAUUUGUCAAGAAAUUGAAGACUUUUCACUGGUGCUUGGGCUCUAUUGGCGAUUUCUACACUGCACAGCAUUCCCGCAAGUAAUUGACAGGCAUGGCUUAAGCACAAUAUUGAUAACCUUUAGAAGCAAAUAUCAACUCCGGCAUCGUUGAUUCUUGAAAAUAUUUUCUAAUGUUCAGAAAUAUAAAGUUUUUGAAAACUUAUAUUACCCUUACACCACUCUUCUCCUCCCCAUUUCAUUCGACUCAUUACCACCAGCACCACCGGGUUCUUUAACCCAGUAUUUGCGAGUUAUCAAGUUUCAUGAAUGAGCCGCUUCUCUCUUCGAUUCAGCCCGAAUGGAUUCGUCCUAAAACAAUGCCCAUCUAACUUAGCCAAAUGUGAUUUUUGGAAAUUGUCUGGUGCUAAAAGUCGGCUCUUUAUUGUUACAAGUUGUGGUUUAUCUCUUCAAAUUGGGACUGAUUUAAUUUGAUUAGUAAUUGUAAAGUGGUUUUUGCUUUGUCAUUUUAUUAUCCUAUGAUUAAUUGCACUCUUUGCAUUUUUAUUUGGUGUUAUUUUUGUUGGAUCAUUUGUUGUGUGUAAUUAAUGCUUAAAAGAGUGUUUAAUGAUAUUAAUUUUGUUUUUGUUGCUCUGUCAUCUGGAUUCACGGCUUAAUAAUGAAGGUAAUAGCCUUUAUUCUUCGUAAUCCGAAAUGAAUUUUAUACGGUGGUUUUGGUGUAGUACUCUUAGUUGUACUUAAGAAAUUAUAAAGAAAGGAAAGGAAUAAGAGCACAUAUGGGUUGUCUCUGUAUUCUUUUCUAAUACUUGCUCUAUUUUCUUUUUUUUUUCUUCUUUUUAAGAGAAAAGGUUUAGGAGGGGAGACCAUUGUCUACUGCUGCAUGAAAUUACUUUCCUUGCAUCAUCAGCAGAAAAAUAAGAGAGUCUGCACUAUUAAAUUACAAAGUUUAGACAUAGACUAUAACUUUAGUCAAUUUUGUGUUUAAUUGGACCAAAAUAUACUUAAAAGUGAUUUUAAUUUCAUUUAAGGUGGAGAUUAUGUUCUUUGAUUAAUCUAAUAUACAGUAUUGAAUUUGGUCUGAGAUUGAUGAGAAUAUGGCAAGAGAGAUCAUAAAUGACAGGUCACUUGCUUCAAGGUGGUUUGUUUUUGACACUUUCUUUCUUUUUCUUUUUUUUUUCUUUUCCGAAAGUUAUAGUUUUUGCACAGGUGUUUAUCAAAACAGGAUUAACUUAAUUUCUGGAUGUAAAAUAGUGGGCUUUUAUGAGUUUGCAGGUGGUUUUGACACCAAGCCAUCUAGCUAUGGAGUAUGCUGCUGGAGGAGAGCUCUUUGAGCAAAUCUGCGAAAAUGGAAGAUUCAGCAAAGGGUUUGUUCCUAGCUGAAAGUUACUCUUACAUAUCCAUCAAUUGCAAGAAGAAAUAGAGAAUGAAAGAAUUCCACUUUGCAAAUGUGGGAAUUCGAGUCGUAUAGAAACCUCUGAGGACAAUUCGAACCGAGGAAGGCGGUUUUAUACCUGCUCGCCUCAACAUGUAUGUAAAAAGAGUCGAACUUGCAAUUUUCAUUUAUAGUAUGGUGGAGCUAACUGAUCAUCAAGUGGUUUAUGUGAAUGCAUUGAGGAAGAAAGUGAAGGAUUAUAGAGAAGAAAGAAAUGAGACUUUGAUACAAGCCGGGGAAGCACAAGCUAUUAGCUGAUGUGCUCUAGUACAAAUGAAGGGCUACCAAACAGAGAAUGAAACAAUGAAGAGUGAGAUUGAAGCAUUGAAAUAUGACUAUAUAGCAUUAAGGGCUGAAAAUUAUGUUCUUAAGGGUGAAAUUCAGUUGCUAAAAGAGGAAUCUGAACUUUUAAUGAUGGAGAUCGAUAUUCUGAAGGAGAAAAUACAAUCAACGGAGAGGAACAGGAUUAUGAAGAAAAUGCUAAUGGCUGGUGCUUGUCUUGUUGUCUAUGGAAAUGUGGUAUAUGCUCUGUGACGUAUAGAGUAGUGUUUUUGAUGCUUGUCUUGUUUUGCUGUUUGUGGGAAUGUAUGUUCAAGCAUUUCACAAACUGCAUAUAGGUUAGAUUUGCAGUUUGUAAAACUUAAUCCUUUUGCUUUUUAUCAUAUGUAUUUGUUUAAUGUUGAAGGCUAAUGGAACUGUGUUAAAUUUGGUAA